UACGUAGGCAGCGAGCGUUGUUCGGAAUUACUGGGCGUAAAGAGUGUGUAGGCGGUGCUCUAAGUUCGGUGUGAAAUCUCCUGGCUCAACUGGGAGGGUGCGCCGGAAACUGGAGUGCUUGAGCGUGGGAGAGGAAAGCGGAAUUCCUGGUGUAGCGGUGAAAUGGCGCAGAUAUCAGGAGGAACACCGGUGGCGAAGGCGGGGUCUCUGGGCCGUAACUGACGCUGGAGGAGCGAAAGCA
rnacentral:rRNA from 1 species